GUMGGACCCAAGCGUUAUCCGGAUUGACUGGGCGUAAAGAGUUGCGUAGGUGGUUUGUUAAGCGAAUAGUGAAAUCUUGGGGCUCAACCUUAAGGCUAUUAUUUGAACUGGCAGACUCGAGAGUAGGAGAGGCAUCUGGAAUUUUUAGUGUAGGGGUAAAAUCCGUAGAUACUAGAAGGAACACCAAUGGCGUAGGCAGGAUGCUGGCCUAUUUCUGACACUGAGGCACGAAAGCGUGGGGAGCGAACCGGAUUAGAUACCCGGGUAGUCCACGCCGUAAACGAUGAAUACUAGCUGUAUGCCGUAUCGACCCGGUAUGUAGCGAAGCUAACGCGUUAAGUAUUCCGCCUGGGGAGUACGGUCGCAAGACUA
rnacentral:rRNA from 1 species